AUGUCCAGUGAUAGGCAAAUGUCGGAUGAUGAGAAUCCCAGCCCUAGCAGUUGCAGUUCAGAUGAAGAGGAACGAGACCCUGCAGCUCCAGAGCCAGAGGAAAAGGAAGAAAAAAAACCUUCUGCCACCCAGCAGAAGAAAAAAACCAAACUCUCUAGCAAAGACUGCAAAGUAAUCCAUUAGUGCUAAAAAAUAUCAGAAGGAGCUAGCUGAGAUCAGCCUUGAUCCUCCUCCUAACUGCGGUGCUGGGCCUAAAGGAGAUAAGUUUUAUGAAUGGAGGUCAACUACACUUGGUCUACCAGGCUCUGUAUAUGAAAGGUGCUGGUUUUUUUCUGGAUAUCUCAUUUUAUUCAGAUUACCCAUUUAAGCCACCAAAGGUUACUUUCUGGACCAGAAUCCAUCACUGCACCAUCAACAGUCAGGGAGUCAUCUGCCUGGGUAUUCUGAAAGACACCUGGAUCGUGCUUUAACUAUUUCAAAGGUUUUGCUCUCUA
rnacentral:lncRNA from 1 species